GGUGGGUUAGCUCAGUGAUUAGAGCUUAGGCCCUGUGACCGGAAAGUCCCGGGUUCGAAUCUCGCGAGAGGCAG
rnacentral:tRNA from 1 species